rnacentral:rRNA from 1 species
UACGAAGGGGGGCUAGCGUUGUUCGGAAUUACUGGGCGUAAAGCGCACGUAGGCGGAUAUUUAAGUCAGGGGUGAAAUCCCAGAGCUCAACUCUGGAACUGCCUUUGAUACUGGGUAUCUCGAGUAUGGAAGAGGUGAGUGGAAUUCCGAGUGUAGAGGUGAAAUUCGUAGAUAUUCGGAGGAACACCAGUGGCGAAGGCGGCUCACUGGCUCGGUACUGACGCUGAGGUGCGAAAGCGUGGGGAGCAAACAGG